rnacentral:rRNA from 1 species
UGAACGCUGGCGGCGUGCUUAACACAUGCACGUCGACCGAUGAAGCCCAGCUUGCUGGGUGGAUUAGUGGCGAACGGGUGAGUAACACGUGAGUAACCUGCCCUUAACUCUGGGAUAAGCCUGGGAAACUGGGUCUAAUACCGGAUAGGAGCGUCCACCGCAUGGUGGGUGUUGGAAAGAUUUAUCGGUUUUGGAUGGACUCGCGGCCUAUCAGCUUGUUGGUGAGGUAAUAGCUCACCAAGGCGACGACGGGUAGCCGGCCUGAGAGGGUGACCGGCCACACUGGGACUGAGACACGGCCCAGACUCCUACGGGAGGCAGCAGUGGGGAAUAUUGCACAAUGGGCGCAAGCCUGAUGCAGCGACGCCGCGUGAGGGAUGACGGCCUUCGGGUUGUAAACCUCUUUCAGUAGGGAAGAAGCGAAAGUGACGGUACCUGCAGAAGAAGCACCGGCUAACUACGUG